rnacentral:rRNA from 1 species
AUACGUAGGGGGCGAGCGUUGUCCGGAAUGAUUGGGCGUAAAGGGCGCGUAGGCGGCCCGGUAAGUCUGGAGUGAAAGUCCUGUUUUUAAGAUGGGAAUUGCUUUGGAUACUGUCGGGCUUGAGUGCAGGAGAGGUAAGUGGAAUUCCCAGUGUAGCGGUGAAAUGCGUAGAGAUUGGGAGGAACACCAGUGGCGAAGGCGACUUGCUGGGCUGUAACUGACGCUGAGGCGCGAAAGUGUGGGGAGCAAACAGGAUUAGAUACCCUGGUAGUCCACACUGUAAACGAUGAAUGCUAGGUGUAGGGGGUAUCGACCCCUUCUGUGCCGCAGUCAACACAAUAAGCAUUCCGCCUGGGGAGUACGGCCGCAAGGUUGAAACUCAAAUGAAUUGACGGGG